rnacentral:rRNA from 1 species
UGGGGAAUAUUGCACAAUGGGCGCAAGCCUGAUGCAGCCAUGCCGCGUGUAUGAAGAAGGCCUUCGGGUUGUAAAGUACUUUCAGCGGGGAGGAAGGGAGUAAAGUUAAUACCUUUGCUCAUUGACGUUACCCGCAGAAGAAGCACCGGCUAACUCCGUGCCAACAGCCGCGGUAAUACGGAGGGUGCAAGCGUUAAUCGGAAUUACUGGGCGUAAAGCGCACGCAGGCGGUUUGUUAAGUCAGAUGUGAAAUCCCCGGGCUCAACCUGGGAACUGCAUCUGAUACUGGCAAGCUUGAGUCUCGUAGAGGGGGGUAGAAUUCCAGGUGUAGCGGUGAAAUGCGUAGAGAUCUGGAGGAAUACCGGUGGCGAAGGCGGCCCCCUGGACGAAGACUGACGCUCAGGUGCGAAAGCGUGGGGAGCAAACAGG